GAUCAUGUGACAGUAAUAUGGUGCAGUGGCUGCUGGGAAAUGAAAUCCAGAGUUACCUCCUUGAUAUAUGACAGAGGUGUGUGCAUUUUAUAUUAGCGAAAAUUGGAUGCAAUGUUAUGUUGCUUUAAAUACCAUAAAGGAACACAAGAAUAAUGAAAUGUUGUUUGUUGUAGACAUUGAUUUGCAUUAUGCCCGUAUUUCACUUCCAAUGCAGCAAUACUGGGUUAUAAACCACAACAGAAAUAGAUCUAGCAAAACCAGGAACUGUUUUAGUUUUCCCUUGAUGAAAGAACUUAACUGUCAAAACAUAUACUUUGCCUAAUAAAAAAUUACAUUUUGAACAUUGACUUCAUUUCUUAUAAAUAUGAUGUUCUUUAUUAGGGUAUACAAUUAUACAGUAUUUUGUUUGAAAGUUUUCUUGGAAUAGGCUCCAGAUCCACUGUGACCCUGAUCAGGAUAAAGCACUUACUAGAUAUGAAUGAUGAAUGAUACACAGUGCUGAGGGAGUGAAAUGAAUUGUAGAACCCCAGUCCACAUCUCAGUCACAUCUGACAAUUGAUCACACCCUCCACUGUCACGUGAAUGCUGCAUUGAAAUAUAAAAAGCCCACUUCCUUUCUGUGAACUUAAAUAUCAGCAGGGCACAUGCAACAGUUCCUUUCUAUCAUUUUCAGACCUUAGUGAGUUCAGUUUAACUCUGAGACACUGAUAAGUGCAUUAUUUAAUUUAACUUUUUAGCUGUUGGCUAUAUAUUUUCUCACCACUUGGGGUUACUACUAUGAACACAGGUUAAGACUCUAAUGAAAAGUAGUAGUGAGGUAAGGAAAUGGACAUUUAUGAAAAUUGUGACUUCUCCAAAAGGAAUAACAGUGAAAACCGUAAUUCUCCAACAGGUAGAUAUCAUAUAUGUUGAUAUGUUUAAAUAUAUGUAAAUAUUUAAAUUUGUUAUGGUUGAAAUUUGAUAUAUGGUAGCAUUGUAAAUAAGAGGUUUUCACUUAUCAGACGAAGAAACAGAGGAUGAUUACGAGAAUACGCAGCAAUGCCGUCCAAAGCCCAAACAAUGCACCGCUUCAUCAGUCAGAUUUGACUACAAGAUCAUUAUACUUGUUCUUGGUCUUCUCCUAAUGCUUGGUGCUUUAACGUCACUCUGUGCUAUAGGGAUCUUGUAUCACAGAAAAGUUGUUUCCAGUGAGAAACUAAGUGAGAAGUAUAAGAAUGCCACAGCCACACUGAUGGUGCUAGAAGACAAAGCCAAUGAGACAGAACAACUGUAUGAAAUGCUGAAGAUGAAGUAUCAGGAAGUUCAUGAACGUCUCUCUGCAUGUAAUGGUAAGCCCCCCCC